rnacentral:rRNA from 1 species
CCUACGGGUGGCAGCAGUGAGGAAUAUUGGUCAAUGGGCGCGAGCCUGAACCAGCCAAGUAGCGUGAAGGAUGACUGCCCUGCGGGUUGUAAACUUCUUUUAUCAAGGCAUAAAGUGCGGCACUUGUGCCUUUUUGUGUGUACUUUCUGAAUAAGGAUCGGCUAACUCCGUGCCCGCAGCCGCGGUAAUACGGAGGAUCCGAGCGUUAUCCGGAUUUAUUGGGUUUAAAGGGAGCGUAGAUGGGUUGUUAAGUCGGGUGUGAAAGUGUGCGGCUCAACCGUAAAAUUGCAAUUGAUACUGGCAGUCUUGAGUACAGUUGAGGUAGGCGGAAUGCGUGGUGUAGCGGUGAAAUGCUUAGAUAUCACGAAGAACCCCGAUUGCGAAGGCAGCUUACUAAACUGCCACUGACAUUGAUGCUCGAAAGUGUGGGUAUCAAACAGGAUUAGAUACCCGUGUAGUC